rnacentral:rRNA from 1 species
UGGAAACGGUAGCUAAUACCGCAUAACGUCGCAAGACCAAAGUGGGGGACCUUCGGGCCUCAUGCCAUCAGAUGUGCCCAGAUGGGAUUAGCUAGUAGGUGGGGUAAUGGCUCACCUAGGCGACGAUCCCUAGCUGGUCUGAGAGGAUGACCAGCCACACUGGAACUGAGACACGGUCCAGACUCCUACGGGAGGCAGCAGUGGGGAAUAUUGCACAAUGGGCGCAAGCCUGAUGCAGCCAUGCCGCGUGUGUGAAGAAGGCCUUCGGGUUGUAAAGCACUUUCAGCGGGGAGGAAGGCGUUAAGGUUAAUAACCUUGGCGAUUGACGUUACCCGCAGAAGGAGCACCGGCUAACUCCGUGCCAGCAGCCGCGGUAAUACGGAGGGUGCAAGCGUUAAUCGGAAUUACUGGGCGUAAAGCGCACGCAGGCGGUCUGUCAAGUCGGAUGUGAAAUCCCCGGGCUCAACCUGGGAACUGCAUUCGAAACUGGCAGGCUAGAGUCUUGUAGAGGGGGGUAGAAUUCCAGGUGUAGCGGUGAAAUGCGUAGAGAUCUGGAGGAAUACCGGUGGCGAAGGCGGCCCCCUGGACAAAGACUGACGCUCAGGUGCGAAAGCG